UACGAAGGGGGCUAGCGUUGCUCGGAAUCACUGGGCGUAAAGCGCACGUAGGCGGAUCUUUAAGUCGGGGGUGAAAUCCCGGGGCUCAACCCCGGAGCUGCCUUCGAUACUGAGGAUCUUGAGUCCGGGAGAGGUGAGUGGAACUGCGAGUGUAGAGGUGAAAUUCGUAGAUAUUCGCAAGAACACCAGUGGCGAAGGCGGCUCACUGGCCCGGUACUGACGCUGAGGUGCGAAAGCGUGGGGAG
rnacentral:rRNA from 1 species